UACGGAGGGUGCUAGCGUUGUUCGGAAUUACUGGGCGUAAAGGGCGCGUAGGCGGCCGUUUGCGUCGGAUGUGAAAGCCCGGGGCUCAACCUCGGAACGGCAUUCGAUACGGGACGGCUGGAGACCGGGAGAGGAGAGUGGAAUAGCCAGUGUAGAGGUGAAAUUCGUAGAUAUCAAGUGGAACACCGGUGGCGAAGGCGGCCUUCUGGACAGUGACUGACGCUGAGACGCGAAAGCGUGGGGAGCAAACAGG
rnacentral:rRNA from 1 species